CGAGAACAUAACCAGUAAUGAUGUUGGAAGGUCCUCAAAUUUCACUCAUUUAAUCUGUGACAAUCUACACAACUUGUCAACAUGGAACAGUUCCUUUAUCAGGGAAGCAUUGGAGUUCCUGCUGAGGAAAGACGUUGAUUUACAGCUAAGUGUUGUGAAGCUCCUUGUCAGCAAAGUGAACGGGAAAGAGCUGGAGGAAGCAUUGGAAGAAUU